rnacentral:rRNA from 1 species
UACGGGGGGAGCAAGCGUUGUUCGGAUUUACUGGGCGUAAAGGGCGCGUAGGCGGUCGUGACAAGUCACUUGUGAAAUCUCCGGGCUUAACUCGGAACGGUCAAGUGAUACUGUCGGACUAGAGUACAGAAGGGGCAACUGGAAUUCUCGGUGUAGCGGUGAAAUGCGUAGAGAUGCGGAGGAACACCGAUGGCGAAGGCAGCCCCCUGGGCCAAUACUGACGCUCAGGCACGAAAGCGUGGGGAGCAAACAGG